rnacentral:tRNA from 1 species
AAUGAAUUGCCUGAUUAAAGGAUUAUCUUGAUAGGAUAAAUUAUGUAAUAUAUUACAUUCAUUA